rnacentral:rRNA from 1 species
UGGGAAUAUUGGACAAUGGGCGGAAGCCUGAUCCAGCAACGCCGCGUGAGGGAUGACGGCCUUCGGGUUGUAAACCUCUUUCAGCGGGGACGAAGCGCAAGUGACGGUACCCGCAGAAGAAGCACCGGCCAACUACGUGCCAGCAGCCGCGGUAAUACGUAGGGUGCGAGCGUUGUCCGGAAUUAUUGGGCGUAAAGGGCUCGUAGGCGGUUUGUCGCGUCGGGAGUGAAAACGCCGGGCUUAACUCGGUGCUUGCUUUCGAUACGGGCAGACUAGAGGCAUGCAGGGGAGAACGGAAUUCCUGGUGUAGCGGUGAAAUGCGCAGAUAUCAGGAGGAACACCGGUGGCGAAGGUGGUUCUCUGGGCAUGUCCUGACGCUGAGGAGCGAAAGUGUGGGGAGCGAACAGGAUUAGAUACCCUGGUAGGUCCACACCGUAAAACGUUGGGCGCUAGGUGUGGGAUCCAUUCCACGGGUUCCGUGCCGCAGCUAACGCAUUAAGCGCCCCGCCUGGGGAGUACGGCCGCAAGGCUAAAACUCAAAUGAAUUGACGGGGUCAUAGCUGUUUCCU